rnacentral:tRNA from 1 species
UCCCUGAUGGCUCAAACGGUAAAGAAUCUGCCUGAAAUGCAGGAGACCCAGGUUUGAUCCCUGGGUUGGGAA